UACGUAGGGUGCAAGCGUUAAUCGGAAUUACUGGGCGUAAAGCGUGCGCAGGCGGUUUUGUAAGUUUGUCGUGAAAGCCCCGGGCUCAACCUGGGAAUUGCGAUGAAGACUGCAAGGCUUGAAUCUGGCAGAGGGGGGUAGAAUUCCACGUGUAGCAGUGAAAUGCGUAGAGAUGUGGAGGAACACCGACGGCGAAGGCAGCCCCCUGGGUCAAGAUUGACGCUCAUGCACGAAAGCGUGGGGAGCAAACAGG
rnacentral:rRNA from 1 species